UACGAAGGGGGCUAGCGUUGUUCGGAAUCACUGGGCGUAAAGCGCAUGCAGGCGGAUUGUUAAGUCGGGGGUGAAAUCCCGAGGCUCAACCUCGGAACUGCCUUCGAUACUGGCAAUCUUGAGUCCGGGAGAGGUGAGUGGAACUGCGAGUGUAGAGGUGAAAUUCGUAGAUAUUCGCAAGAACACCAGUGGCGAAGGCGGCUCACUGGCCCGGUACUGACGCUGAGGUGCGAAAGCUAGGGGAGCAAACGGG
rnacentral:rRNA from 1 species